rnacentral:rRNA from 1 species
GACGAACCGUGCGAACGUUAUUCGGAAUCACUGGGCUUAAAGCGCGUGUAGGCGGGCCGCCACGUCGGCUGCUGAAAUCCCCCGGCUCAACCGGGGAAGUGGCACCGAUACGAGCGGCCUCGAGGGGGGUAGGGGGGUCUGGAACUUCCGGUGGAGCGGUGAAAUGCGUUGAGAUCGGAAGGAACGCCCGUGGCGAGAGCGAGGCCCUGGACCCUUACUGACGCUGAGACGCGAAAGCCAGGGGAGCGAACGGG